UAUGUUACAUAAUUUUGCUAA
rnacentral:piRNA from 1 species